rnacentral:rRNA from 1 species
UACAGAGGUCUCAAGCGUUGUUCGGAUUCAUUGGGCGUAAAGGGUGCGUAGGCGGCGCGGUGAGUCGGGUGUGAAAUCUCGGAGCUUAACUCCGAAACUGCAUUCGAUACUGCCGUGCUUGAGGACUGGAGAGGAGACUGGAAUUUACGGUGUAGCGGUGAAAUGCGUAGAUAUCGUAAGGAAGACCAGUGGCGAAGGCGGGUCUCUGGGCCGUAACUGACGCUGAGGAGCGAAAGCAUGGGGAGCGAACAGG